CGAUGAACCUCCUUCGGGAGGGGAUUAGUGGCGAACGGGUGAGUAACACGUGGGCAAUCUGCCCUGCACUCCGGGACAAGCCCUGGAAACGGGGUCUAAUACCGGAUACGACUCUCGCGGGCAUCCGCGAGGGUGGAAAGCUCCGGCGGUGCAGGAUGAGCCCGCGGCCUAUCAGCUGGUUGGUGGGGUAACGGCCCACCAAGGCGACGACGGGUAGCCGGCCUGAGAGGGCGACCGGCCACACUGGGACUGAGACACGGCCCAGACUCCUACGGGAGGCAGCAGUGGGGAAUAUUGCACAAUGGGCGCAAGCCUGAUGCAGCGACGCCGCGUGAGGGAUGACGGCCUUCGGGUUGUAAACCUCUUUCAGCAGGGAAGAAGCGCAAGUGACGGUACCUGCAGAAGAAGCGCCGGCUAACUACGUGCCAGCAGCCGCGGUAAUACGUAGGGCGCGAGCGUUGUCCGGAAUUAUUGGGCGUAAAGAGCUCGUAGGCGGCCUGUCACGUCGGGUGUGAAAGCCCGGGGCUUAACCCCGGGUCUGCAUUCGAUACGGGCAGGCUGGAGUUCGGCAGGGGAGAUCGGAAUUCCUGGUGUAGCGGUGAAAUGCGCAGAUAUCAGGAGGAACACCGGUGGCGAAGGCGGAUCUCUGGGCCGAUACUGACGCUGAGGAGCGAAAGCGUGGGGGAGCGAACAGGAUUAGAUACCCUGGUAGUCCACGCCGUAAACGUUGGGCACUAGGUGUGGGAUCCAUUCCACGGGUUCCGUGCCGCAGCUAACGCAUUAAGUGCCCCGCC
rnacentral:rRNA from 1 species